CUAAGUAAAUCUAUUGAAACAGGUUUCACAAUUUCCAUUUCCCCACGGGAGAUACUAGUGGAUGGUUUGUCAGAUUGGUAUUGAUGGAGAAGAGGAUGUUGUGUUAUGGUUUCACUAUAGCCUGCAACGAUGGGUUUAUCACUGUCAGAUCAGCAUGUCAAACUUCUGGAACACAACAGAAGUUGGGAACUCCCUUCUCCUUGGAAGAUUUCCUGGAAUUCUAAAGCACCGGGUCUGACGAUCUUGGAGUGCAUUUUUCUUGGUCAGUUGGGCUGUGGUGUUCUGUUAGAAAGGAAUUUGCUUGUUGAGGGUUGAAUUGUCCUUAACAUUGGAGAAGCCCUUCCGUUUGUAAAACCAGCAUCCAGUUUGUUUGGAUGGAUGGCUUACCACAUUACUUUUUCUGCAUUAUGGCGGUGCCCUUUAGCUGGUCAGAUUCUUCAGUUGCUUAGAUUUGUUAUAGUUUGUUUAUGAAUGGGAGGCAUAACUUUUUCUUUUCUAUCAAAAGAUUUUCAUUAUCGACAAUCAUUUACAUCAACACUUGAGUGUUGUGAAACUUUCAGGAAUUUUAGAUGAAAAAGACUCAAGUGAAUG